GAUGAACGCUGGCGGCGUGCCUAAUACAUGCAAGUCGAGCGAAUGGAUUAAGAGCUUGCUCUUAUGAAGUUAGCGGCGGACGGGUGAGUAACACGUGGGUAACCUGCCCAUAAGACUGGGAUAACUCCGGGAAACCGGGGCUAAUACCGGAUAACAUUUUGAACCGCAUGGUUCGAAAUUGAAAGGCGGCUUCGGCUGUCACUUAUGGAUGGACCCGCGUCGCAUUAGCUAGUUGGUGAGGUAACGGCUCACCAAGGCAACGAUGCGUAGCCGACCUGGGAGGGUGAUCGGCCACACUGGGACGUAGACACGGCCCAGACUCCUACGGGAGGUAGCAGUAGGGAAUCUUCCGCAAUGGACGAAAGUCUGACGGAGCAACGCCGCGUGAGUGAUGAAGGCUUUCGGGUCGUAAAACUCUGUUGUUAGGGAAGAACAAGUGCUAGUUGAAUAAGCUGGCACCUUGACGGUACCUAACCAGAAAGCCACGGCUAACUACGUGCCAGCAGCCGCGGUAA
rnacentral:rRNA from 1 species